UACGUAGGGUGCGAGCGUUGUCCGGAAUUACUGGGCGUAAAGAGCUCGUAGGUGGUUUGUCGCGUUGUCCGUGAAAACUCACAGCUUAACUGUGGGCGUGCGGGCGAUACGGGCAGACUGGAGUACUGCAGGGGAGACUGGAAUUCCUGGUGUAGCGGUGGAAUGCGCAGAUAUCAGGAGGAACAGCCGGUGGCGAAGGCGGGCUCUGGGCAGUAACUGACGCUGAGGAGCGAAAGCGUGGGGAGCGAACAGG
rnacentral:rRNA from 1 species